rnacentral:rRNA from 1 species
AGGCCAGUGAAUGGCAAGACUAGGAAUAUCUGUACUUUGUAUAUGAAAAAAACUUUUCAUCUAAGUGAAAAGACUUAGAUAAUAAAGGAAGACGAAAAGACCCCGCGGAACUUUACCUUUUCUCAUACCUCUGUCUACAAACUUAAAAGUCUAUAAGGUUUGAUUGGGGCAAUCUUGGAACCAACAAAGCUUCCAACGACUUACAAUAUUUAUACAAAAUUUGUUAAAGACUAAAAAGUAGUUACCCCGGGGAUAACAGCGUAAUCCAACUAAAGAGUACACAUCGAAAGUUGGGUUUGCGACCUCGAUGUUGGCUUAAGGAUAUCCACAUAAGUGCAACCGCUAUGACAGGAUAGUCUGUUCGACUAUUAUACCCUUACAUGAUCUGAGUUCAGACCGGA